rnacentral:rRNA from 1 species
UACGAAGGGGGCUAGCGUUGUUCGGAAUCACUGGGCGUAAAGGGCGCGUAGGCGGCCUGAUAAGUCGGGGGUGAAAGCCUGUGGCUCAACCACAGAAUUGCCUUCGAUACUGUUAGGCUUGAGACCGGAAGAGGUAAGUGGAACUGCGAGUGUAGAGGUGAAAUUCGUAGAUAUUCGCAAGAACACCAGUGGCGAAGGCGGCUUACUGGUCCGGUUCUGACGCUGAGGUGCGAAAGCGUGGGGAGCGAACAGG